GUUCCCCAAAAGACAUGGGUAUAACACGUGAGAUGUCAGGGAGGGGGAGACACCUAACUUCUGAUUGACAACUGUUAAAGAUACUGGAGCCCUGUCCUCCUUUCCAUAUGGUCAGCCUACAGGUUGGGGAAGGCUGAAGUAUAGGAUUGCCAUCCUUAAACAAAUGAAAACAGGCCGCCAUGAAAGACACAAGAGUAUAGCAGACUAAAAAAGCUCACAAAUGAACCCUUUGCUAAAAGAAGGAGCCUCACUAAUAAGAGAGACAGUGUGGUGUAGUGGUUGGGACUAGGGAGACAUGGGUUCCAGUCCCCAUUUGGCCAUGGAAGCUCGCUGGGUAACUUUGGGCCAGUCACUGACUCUCAGCCCAACCUACCUCACAGUGUUGUUGUGAGGACAAAAUGGAGAGGAAGAGGACCAUGUAAGCUGCCUUAGAUUCCUUGCAAGAAGAAAAAAAGUUUUGCAGUGUUUCGGGUUCCAUGUGUGUUAAAGAGAAAGAUGAACAAAACGAUGAACAUUGGUUUGUUAACGACAGACAACCUAUCCAAAGUAUGCUGGGAAGUGCAAGAUGGACAGGAGUUCAAGUUGCUGUCAUGAAAAUUGUGAGGCCAGAUGUUUUCCACACCACUAUCACCAAUACACGCAACUGAGAGGGAUCUGGAAAUGCCCUGGAUUCCCAUGCAGGAACCCCUAUAAGGGCCAGAUGCUCCCCUGCUGUUCUCUACCUUGAGCAAGGCUCCCCCACCACCGCCACCCAACCACCACCGUCAUGAAAUAGCCAAAUUUCUCUCACUACAAAACCAAUUUUAAAAUCAGGGAUCGGGUGUCUAUAUUUAGGAACACUGAGAUCUGAAACGUGAUCAGCAAUGAAGGUCAGAGGUAGAUUUGAUAUAGAAGAUUUGAUAUAAUCACAUUUGAUAUAUAGAUUUGAUAUAAUCACUCGGCUCUUCAGUGGCAGAGGGAUUUUGAAAGAAAAGACAAAACAGUUGUGUUCUCUCCACCCCAUAAUGUUUAUUACUUCUAUAAUAAUGAAAAAGAAUGUGCCAUCAUUUUUGCACCAUAGCUCUAAGUCCAUGACACCUCCACACCUGAAACACGCCAGGCCUACAGGUGUGCGCACCUCUGCGUUAUUUGCUCUCUGCUGUGGCACCCUGGCUGUGGAAUGAGUUCCCUAAGGAGGUUCGCUUGGCACCUACAUUAUAUGCUUUUAGAGGCCAGGUGAAGACCUUUUUAUUCUCCCAGCAUUUUAACAGUCUAUAAAAAAAUUUAACUUGGUGUUUUAAAUUUGUAAUUUUGCAUUGCUGCUGUUUUUAUCUGGUUGAGCUUUUAUAUUGUACUUUAUAUUAGGGUUUUAUACUAUUGUUUUAUACUUUGAAUGUUUUUAAUUUUUGUGAACCGCCCAGAGAGCGCUGGCUAUUGGGCUGUAUAGAAAUGUAAUAAAUAAAUAAAUAAAAUGCAUUCAUUAAUUCAAA